GACGAACGCUGGCGGCGUGCUUAACACAUGCAAGUCGAACGGAAAGGCCCCUUUGGGGGUACUCGAGUGGCGAACGGGUGAGUAACACGUGAGUAACCUGCCCUUGACUUCGGGAUAACUUCAGGAAACUGGGGCUAAUACCGGAUAGGAAUCAUUGCUGCAUGGUGGGGGUUGGAAAGCUUCGGCGGUUUUGGAUGGACUCGCGGCUUAUCAGCUUGUUGGUGGGGUAGUGGCUUACCAAGGCUUUGACGGGUAGCCGGCCUGGGAGGGCGACCGGCCACAUUGGGACUUAGAUACGGCCCAGACUCCUACGGGAGGCAGCAGUGGGGAAUAUUGCACAAUGGGCGGAAGCCUGAUGCAGCAACGCCGCGUGCGGGAUGACGGCCUUCGGGUUGUAAACCGCUUUCAGCAGGGGCGAAGCUUGUGGUGACGGUACCUGCAGAAGAAGCACCGGCUAACUACGUG
rnacentral:rRNA from 1 species